rnacentral:tRNA from 1 species
GGAGCUGGAGCUCAGUGGAGAGCACUUGUCUCACACAUAUGAGGCACUGGGUUCGAUUCUUAGCACCA